UACGUAGGUGGCAAGCGUUGUCCGGAAUUAUUGGGCGUAAAGCGCGCGCAGGCGGUUCCUUAAGUCUGAUGUGAAAGCCCCCGGCUCAACCGGGGAGGGUCAUUGGAAACUGGGGAACUUGAGUGCAGGAGAGGAAAGCGGAAUUCCACGUGUAGCGGUGAAAUGCGUAGAUAUGUGGAGGAACACCAGUGGCGAAGGCGGCUUUCGUGGUCUGAUAA
rnacentral:rRNA from 1 species